GACGAACGCUGGCGGCGUGCCUAAUACAUGCAAGUCGAGCGAAGCGGCGGAUGGGUGAGUAACGCGUGGGUAACCUGCCCUUAAGUCUGGGAUACCAUUUGGAAACAGAUGCUCAUCACGGAUACUGAAGGAUGGACCUGCGAUGCAUUAGCUAGUUGGUAAGGUAACGGCUUACCAGGGCGAUGAUGCCUAGCGGGUUUGAGAGGGUGAUCGGCCACACUGGGACUGAGACACGGCCCAAACUCCUACGGGAGGCAGCAGUAGGGAAUCUUCGACAAUGGACGAAAGUCUGAUGGAGCAACGCCGCGUGAGUGAAGAAGGUUUUCGGAUCGUAAAACUCUGUUGUUGGUGAAGCGGUAUUCAACCAGAAAGUCACGGCUAACUACGUGCCAGCAGCCGCGGUAAUAC
rnacentral:rRNA from 1 species